UUGCGGGGCAUCUAACGAGGAGCAAAGAUUCAUCGUAAGGGAUGGGGAUGCGUCUGAUUAGCCAGUUGGCGGGGUAACGGCCCACCAAGGCGACGAUCAGUAGGGGUUCUGAGAGGAAGGUCCCCCACAUUGGUACUGAGACACGGUCCAAACUCCUACGGGAGGCAGCAGUGAGGAAUAUUGGUCAAUGGUCGAGAGACUGAACCAGCCAAGUAGCGUGAGGGAAGACUGCCCUAUGGGUUGUAAACCUCUUUGUUUGGGAAUAAAGUGAGCCACGUGUGGCUUUUGUAUGUACCUUACGAAUAAGCAUCGGCUAAUUCCGUGCC
rnacentral:rRNA from 1 species